GCCCAGUUUGUGCUCCCCUCUUGCACAGGCUCAGGAUGUUUAUAAAGGAAAGCCCCUGGGGGAAAAAAAAAAAUUCGAAGUAAGGACCCUGGCCCCCUACUGAAUCACUUAUUUAAACUUCUAAACUUCGCAAAUUGACACAGUAAGCAACAUCCCAGAGGUAAGGGCAGGUCCUCUACGCCCCAGGAUGUAGAACUGCUGAGUUACUUAGUUAAGCUUCUAGACUUCAGGUGGACACAACGUAUCAACCAAUACAGCCUGGGGGCGUUGGGGGAGUGGUGGCAGGAAGGCGCUCAGGGGGCUCCAGGGGAAUCUGGAGAUUCAGUAUUUUGGCACCCGUCAACCAGUAUGUCCUCAGCCCGCCUCAGGAUUUCACUCCUUGCAAACAGAAUCCCACUUUGGUAGAGCAGGCCUGCUACAGCCAAAAACUCAACUGGCUCUGAAACUCUUGUUCACCUUAGAAAAACCUAGAAGUCAGUUUUUUUCUCCCCAGUCAGCAGAAAGUGAAUCCUUUUCUGUGCUACAAUAGAGGCCUCUGGCUUUCACACUUCCCCUAAGCGCUUAAUUGACUGACUCAGCCUUCCUUGUCCUUUGCCAAUAGAUCGCUAAGACCACGCAAGAGCCGUUUGAUUCCACAGCCCUGACAGUAAUUACUACUUUCACUAACCUGUGCAGACUUCCGAGACAUCACGCCCCCAGUCCAUUCUCUCCCCUCUCUCCGAUGAUGAAGAUCUGAACAGCUCCACUUGCACUGCCUGUGUCGUCCUUACCAAUGAUCUGCUCCCAUGCCCUGUGCGGCAGGUGGCCCAGCUCCAGAAUAUCAUCCCAGAGUUUGCUUCCAGGCCAACUGCCUGAGGGUGGCUUUCCUGGGAGACAGAGUCUGAAACGGAACUUCAAACCCCGUGUUUUUCAGAGUGCUCCAGCUCGGGUUCAGGUUCCACGCUGCAGAAGCCCAAGCCAUGGGUUUCCCGGAAGGAGGGCUUCUGGAGCACAGGGAGCUGCGGGUGGGGAGUGCCAGCCGUCUGGCUGGCUAGCUUCCUGCCUGCUGGCUCCCGGAGGGUGGG
rnacentral:lncRNA from 1 species